AUUGAACGCUGGCGGCAUGCCUUACACAUGCAAGUCGAGCGGGGUUUUCGGACCUAGCGGCGGACGGGUGAGUAAUGCGUAGGAAGCUGCCCGAUAGAGGGGGAUACCAGUUGGAAACGACUGUUAAUACCGGCAUAAUGUCUACGGACCAAAGUGUGGGACCUUCGGGCCACAUGCUAUCGGAUGCGUCUACGUGGGAU
rnacentral:rRNA from 1 species